rnacentral:rRNA from 1 species
GAUGAACGCUGGCGGCGUGCCUAAUACAUGCAAGUCGAGCGAACGGACGAGAAGCUUGCUUCUCUGAUGUUAGCGGCGGACGGGUGAGUAACACGUGGAUAACCUACCUAUAAGACUGGGAUAACUUCGGGAAACCGGAGCUAAUACCGGAUGAUAUUUUGAACCGCAUGGUUCAAAAGUGAAAGACGGUCUUGCUGUCACUUAUAGAUGGAUCCGCGCUGCAUUAGCUAGUUGGUAAGGUAACGGCUUACCAAGGCAACGAUGCAUAGCCGACCUGAGACGGUGAUCGGCCACACUGGAACUGAGACACGGUCCAGACUCCUACGGGAGGCAGCAGUAGGGAAUCUUACGCAAUGGGCGAAAGCCUGACGGAGCAACGCCGCGUGAGUGAUGAAGGUCUUCGGAUCGUAAAACUCUGUUAUUAGGGAAGAACAUAUGUGUAAGUAACUGUGCACAUCUUGACGGUACCUAAUCAGAAAGCCACGGCUAACUACGUG